CCCAGGAGGUAGAGACUGCAAUGAGCUGAGAUUGCGCCACUGCACUCCAGCCUGGGCAACAGAGCGAGACUCUGUCCCAAAUAAAUAAGUGAAUAAAUAAAUGUUUUAUAAUCUCAGGAAAUGAAUCAAAUACGACUUUAGCUUUGUCUUUGUAGAACCAACUUGGAUUUCAAUUGUCAUGAUACCCAAUGGCCAACAGGAUAAGAAGGGAACCUCUCCAUUCAAAAUAGUAUUGUGAUUCUCUGUGUAGAAAUGUGUACAUUUUCAUUUUUCUGUGAUAAAAAUGGCUUCUAAUAUUUUAUAUUUUAGUGUCGUGUUAGAGAUUUCAUUCCAUGCUCAUAUGUUCAUUCACAUGUAUUUUUAUUUUUAGCUCUAAGCGAAAGACAUGAGGCCUCAGCCUGAAAUGAGGUUGUUUUGAGGUCAUCUGAUUUCUGACUAGAAGGUUUGCAAUUUUUUUUGGUGAUGGCAUGUUCAGAAUCUUGGAUCCCUAAUUUCAAUAUAUUGGAAAUAUUUAGGAACUCUGGAAAUUAUAUUGUUUUUGCAACUUACUAGAUGAAUCAGUAGAUUCCAGUAAAGUAUAUAUAAUAACAUAAUUAUGAUGUUGUACUUCUGGGUUGACUUGCAUGUCUCAAAUUAUCAGCUAUCUGUAUUAGUGUCAUACUUUGGAGACAGUUACCUUUGGAAGGUUUUGGGGUUCUUAUGAACCUCAGUUUUCUCAGAGAGUUUAUGUAAUUCUUCUUAUGGCUGUUCUUUUCUGUCUGCUUGCAGUGUAAAUUACUUAGAUCGGAGGUAGUUAUAUUUAGGAAGAAAGAAAUCAUCAAGUGACAAUCCUUAAGGCAGUAAUGACAAAAUUCCAACCUGGAACUGGUCUCAGAAUGGAAUGUGUUAGAAUAUGCCAAGUCUACCUAGAUUAUAUCCAAAUGUACUUGUGGCACAAUGCUACCAGCUUUCAAAAUGAGACAUUAUUACGUAGGACAGAAGUGCUAAUGAGGAGGGAGAAGGAGCUGUUCAGUUUGCCCCCGCAACAGCCACCCCUUUCUGUUACUAUGUGAAUGAGUUAGUGCAAAAUUAGUGGCCAAAAAGCAGGCAGUGUGAAUGAAAGGGAAGAAAAGGAAAAAAACUUUAAUCUCCAGGAAAGGUUAUUUAUUCUUAAAAAAAUUGAAAGUUGAGUGUACUCCAUGUACCUGAACAUGGUAUUUUAAACUGUGGACUACUUGCAGAAUGUAGAUGAGUGUGUUCUCGGCCAUUGGAAUGAAUGAGAACUUGUAUGUGAUAGGAGAGUCAGAGAGUCCUUGAGUGGUUAUCUUUUUUCUUGCCUGUUCGUGGGCUUAAGAGACUUGAGGAACAUUUUGGGGCAGAUACAUGUGAUGGUCAAAUAAUUGACCAAAACAGGGAAGACUGAUUUUUCAGAUGACAUUCAGAGCAACUUGGAAAUGGAUCCAGGGGAAAGGGUGAAGAGAAGGCAAGGCACUACUGAGACUGAGUAGACGCUCAGGGGAGUGUUCAUGUAUUAGUUUACUGCAAGUUUCAUUGUUGGUGGAUUGUCCAGUAUUCCGGAAACUAGUGUGUAGCAGAAGUUUUCAUGACGUUUCUAGUGGUGGACGGCUUUUGGAAGCUGAGAAGGUUACCUCAAUACCUUUGGCCUCUUUUUGCUUUGCUUGUUUUAAGAGAAAUUGGCUGAUAUGUAUUUAAUAGAAGUCACAGUGAAAACAUUAAGUAGGUUUUUUAAGACCAGACGUGAUGGCUCACGCCUGUAAUCUCAACACUUGGGGAGGUUGAGGCGGGCUGAUCACUUGAGGUCAGGAGUUCAAGACCAGCCUGGCCAACAUAGUGAAACCCC